GUCCUGGUAGUUCAAUGGAAGAACGCCAGCCUUCUAAGCUGGUCAUGAAGGUUCGAUUCCUUCCCGGGACACCA
rnacentral:tRNA from 1 species